GCGAAUGUCCGCUAAAACAGCGGCGAAAGAGACAUGGACGGACGAAUGAAGAUGGGAUUACCCUCUUUCUAAAGCCGGUUUGAACCAACGGUAGUGGGCUGGGACUGAUUUCCAUUGCCGUUCAAGUAUCAAGUCACACUGUUAAACCAGGGAAAACGAAGAAGUGCACAACAGACAUUGGGACGGAACCAACCGAAUUGACGCAAGGAAAAAAGGUGAGUUUUUGUUCUUAGUUUUUUUCCUAUUUCAGUUUUCGUCUUGUUUCUUGGGCAAAGUCUCUGUGUCCAAGUAGUGGGAUACGACUAUUGGCUUUGCGAAUGGCCACAAGCAAAGUCAUUUAGCCGUCUGAUGGGCGAAUGUCCGCGAAGGAACAGCGGCGAAAGGGGCAUGCAGAGACGGGCAGGUCUCUUUCUGAAGCCGGCUUGAGUCAACACUAAUCAAUUCAGCCGUAAUCACGCUGUAGGAUUCGGCUGAGAUUACUGUUCAAGUCACACUGCAAAGUCCAGUAUCAGCGGAUGCUUUGGACGAAGGACACAAGAGCAAUUUAGAAUAAGGUCAAAUGGAUAAUAAGUUUGCGACCCGAAGUUCGAGUAGGGGAAAAGAGAAAAGGCUUACGUUUCGUAAAGCGUAAGCCUUUUUUCUUUUCCGCCCUUUUUUCCCCCAAACAUUAUUGAAACUCGGCGUUGGUGAAACGUGAGAUGAAAAGGGUAUCCUCUGUCACUGCAUUUGAAACUUGCCUCUAUUAAAGUCUUGCUGUCACCUAGACGACGUCUAGCUGGUCUAAAAUGUAUCGCUUAAUCGAUAUCAACCGCUUGUAGUCACGCCGUUGGCAAGACACGUGAAGGAAAGGAACGAAAGCCACGUCCAUUUAUCUUACCAUUCCUUUUCGUCCCCUUUGACCAAAAAUUGUAGAAAAUUGUUUAGUUGCCAAUCGCAUUUGCCUCAGUUGAGAUGUGGAUGGAAGAUGUUCUGCAGAUAAAUGUGCGCCCAGACCUACACGGAAUCUCGUCGUGAAAGGACAUUCUUCUCAGAGAAAACUCGAAGACGAUGAGUUCUCCAUGUCCUUUAUUUCGAGAUCUGUUUCUUCUCACAAGGUAAGUGUCUUUAUUUCUACCGUUAUAUUAAUUAGAAGUUUAUAGUCGAUGUGCGUAGAUAGGAGCAAUUUCUUAAAAAUCUUUUAUGAAAAAGAAAUGUUAAUGUGACACUUGGGUAUCAAGGACAGUGUAUUUAAGAAAACUCCAAAUGGGUCAUAGUUUGGAAAAAAGACUCGGGAAGGGAGGGGGGCGCUAUUUGUAUAUUUGCCUUUUGGAAAUGUUGUGACCGAUUAGUGCAUCAACUUCUGUUUUGCUUGGCAUCACUUGCUUCUUAAUCGAUGCAUA